GAACUAAAAGAAAAUGAUCAAGACUUAUUGCAUACAGAAGUUAUUUCUUAUAUUAUACUUGAAGAAGCUGAAUAUAAACUAAGAGAUACUAUCAGUAGCGAAGAGAAGGAAACAAUUGAAUUGAAACAAGAACUAUCAAUGAUGAAAGUAC
rnacentral:lncRNA from 1 species